CUGGUAGACAGAAUCCAAGGUCAGUCUCUGUUACUAUCAAAGUCACCAUAAGGUGAAUUCUGUUUUGCUCCCUGGAAAGGUCUGAUUUUCCGCUCUUCUGGUUCCACCGGGCGCUCUGGUUGUGGCUGCGGGGCAGAAGAGAGGGCCAAGGUGGACAUGGGGGAGUCCGCAGGCAGCCCCCGAAGAGGGGCAGGUGAGAAGUGAUGGCAGCCAGGACUGGAGCGAUGCCCGUGGACAUGGAGGGAAGGAUGGGUUAUGGAGAGUCUGAGCGGUUAAAAUAAACGAAUUGCCUAGAAACAUGAAAAGCCAAGUUCCAUUAUCUACGAACUCUCCUGAACCAAGCACAGGGAAAUCAGACGGUCUGAGUGGCUUAAAGGGAGUGGCAUGAGGAUCUUCCUUCUAAAGGACUGUGAGCGGCUUGUAGGAAGGUUGGAGGCUGUUUAUCUUUCUAUCUCUGGA